CGGCUGGCCUGAAGUCGACAGCAGUGGCUGAAGGCAGAACCUCACCUGGGACGUUCGAAGCCGAAUGCAGCAGUUGCUCAAGUCUCCGAAGAGGUCUGACGCUGGUUCUGACAUCCAGAAAGGACUGCGGCGCGGAAAGGGAAGCAAACGCCUUUGGCUCGCCUCCUGCAGCGAGGGUGGGACGUGUGGCGGCUCAGAACACCGCAAGACGUAGGCAACACAUUUCUUGGCUUUGGACUAGGCUUUGGAUUAGGCUUCCAGCAGGUAGAAAGCACACACACAUAACAGAAACAGGCAUAAAGGUAAGGAAAUGUCAAGGAGACAGAAUGAAAAUCGAUGUCCCUACAAGGCUGGUGAGGAGAGGGCAUCCUGUUUGUCCCAUCAGCACAUAGUAGAUAUAAAACUCUGCCCCACAGUCUGACUUGGGAUUGCUCGAUUACCCCUUCGUGCCACAGUAUCGCCAGUGCAAGAGCAAAAUGUGGGCGAAUCGAGCCCUUUGUGGCUUCAACCACGGGGCCAGCUGGAUUUCUCCACUGCCGCGGAAGGAUGCUGCCAAGUAGCUGAAGGCCUUUGUAAGGUGCCCCAGAUCCUGACCCUGUUCAGCAGUGUGGCAACUGCUCUGGUCGCUCCCAUUGACAUUUGUGUCUGUCUUGUGGUUCCUUUGAACAAUGUGACACAGUUGCCAACGUGUGUCAGGCCACGGCUUUGCAGGCUAGCGGUUCAAAGCGCCGGCGAGAACUGAGUGGGAAGACUUAGACAGCACCCACCCACAAUGAGCAAAAUUAAUCCCCGGGGUUACAUUAUUUGAGUAAAUAGACUCCCUGGGAUGAACAUGAGAUUAUGUCUCUGCUCUCGUCAGUGUUGUCAGUUCCUUCAUUGCAAGGUCAACAGUCACUCGCUUCUGAGGUGGGGGGAAGGUUGUAGAGAACGAUGGUUGGAGAAUUGUCCUUCCGAUGCUUUUGCAGGCUCUGUCAUGGGCAUGGGGUAUAUAACACAGUACAGUAAUCUCAUGCUUUACAUGCAUAAACAUGCUGGUGAAGAGGCGCAGCAAGUGACAGUAAGUAGGAAACAUCAGCAGAGCAUCACAAAAAUAUCUGCUCCUGAUUUCGAUACGCUGUGUGACCUAAAGGAAGCUGACGAGCAUCCCUGCACCCAAGUGUUUUAGAUAAGGAUCAUCUUGUCCAGACAGAGGGCAGCGCCUGUCUGCGGAGGUAGCAGGAGCUCUUCGGAUACUCUGCUGCAGGCUCUGUGGCUACAGGCUCAGCUGUGGAAGUUAGGGCAGCUCCUAUGACAGCCUCAUUAUUGGAAGGUAAUGGACUUUAGCGGAGCAGUAUGCCCCUGGACUUACAUGAGUGACAGGGAAAGGAUUAGAAGAAAUGAGUCAUUGCAGCUCCCUGACAUCACUGCUGCCGGCACAACCAUUUCUGGCUCCCAGAUGAAGGGUUCAGCUGCACCGGCGAGGCCCUCACUGCAUGUGUGCGCAAGCAGUUGCUGCUGCGGAUGGAGGUAAUCUUGGUAGUAAUAUGGGUAAUGUCAUCUAAAAAGGGAC